rnacentral:rRNA from 1 species
UACGGGAGGCAGCAGUGGGGAAUAUUGCACAAUGGGCGCAAGCCUGAUGCAGCCAUGCCGCGUGUAUGAAGAAGGCCUUCGGGUUGUAAAGUACUUUCAGCGGGGAGGAAGGCGAUGCGGUUAAUAACCGCGUCGAUUGACGUUACCCGCAGAAGAAGCACCGGCUAACUCCGUGCCAGCAGCCGCGGUAAUACGGAGGGUGCAAGCGUUAAUCGGAAUUACUGGGCGUAAAGCGCACGCAGGCGGUCUGUUAAGUCAGAUGUGAAAUCCCCGGGCUUAACCUGGGAACUGCAUUUUGAACUGGCAGGCUUGAGUCUUGUAGAGGGGGUAGAAUUCCGAGGUGUAGCGGUGAAAUGCGUAGAGAUCUGGAGGAAUACCGGUGGCGAAGGCGGCCCCUGGGACAAAGCUGACGCUCAGGUGCGAAAGCGUGGGGAGCAAACAGGGAUUAGAUACC